ACUGGGAAGAAUUGAAGGCAGGAGGAGAAGGGGAUGACAGAGGAUGAGAUGGUUGGAUGGCAUCACCGACUCAAUGGACAUGAGUUUGAGCAAACUCCAGGAGAUUGUGAAGGACAGGGAAGCCUGGCGGGCUGCAGUCCACAGGGUUGCAGAGUCGGACACGACUGAGCGACUGAAUGACAACAGCAGCAACAUUUAACUUCCAGUUGCCCGAUGUCACGAGCACCAUUUCAAGUGCCUAAAGUCUCCACGUGAUCCAUGGCAAACCAUGUUGGAUGGCACAGAUGUAGAACCACCCCUUUGUUGCAGAAAGUCCUACCGGGCCAGACUGACCUAGAGGACAUGAUCUCUGUUCCUAGCUUGGCUUGGGAAAGCAUUUAGACCCCCCCCCCCCCAAAAAAAAAGAAAAAGAAAUAAAGAAAACCCAGCUCUUCUUUACAAACAGGCCGUCCCUCGCAAUGUGGGAAUGUCAGGGCCUCUCGGUGAAGUGAGCAAGAGAGAAGAGAAACAAGAUGCAGCUGAGGUGGGGACGCUGUGUUUUCUCCGAUAUUACUAAGCAACCGUGUCCUAAAAUCUCCGGAGCCAGCGACAGAACUUUGUUUACCAGGAAGAAAGCACUUGAAAAGGAGAAUAUUUGGCGGAAAUGCGCUUUGGGAUUAGCAGCCACAAGGAGGGGAGAGGAAUGGAAUCUCAAACUCGUUUCCAGCUCCGUCAAGUCCCCAGUCCAUUUCCUGCCAUCGCUAGGACUUCUCACUUUCUUUACGCCCCACCCUAACCUCUGCUUGUCGUUCAGUUGCUUAGUCAGCCCCAUGGACUGCGGCACAACAGGCUUCCCCGUCCUUCACUAUCUCCCGGAGUUUGGUCAGACUCAAGUCCGUUGGGUCGGUGAUGCCAUUCAACCAUCUCAUGCUCUGUCGGCCCCUUCUCCUCCUGCCCUCUGCAUGAAGGGCUAAAGUGAAUGGUGCAGAAAGUCCAGCAUGGGAGGGGACCAAGUGAUGCAGAAGAGGGGUCGCCCGUCCGCAGUGGAUAAACAGGCCCCUGAAUUGUGACCCCUAGCUGAAUGCUUCUGAAUAAAAGUUUCAGGACCACUUGAUCGGCUAAUGUG
rnacentral:lncRNA from 1 species